AUUUAUAUAAUAUAAAAAUUAUAUUUGACUUCCAAUCAAAAAAUCUAAAUAUCUUAGUAUAAAUA
rnacentral:tRNA from 1 species